GGGCAGCUGGUGUGUUUCAACAAACACGGUGCAGAGGGGUGCUGCUUUCGAUUAGGAAACCGGGAACCGACACUGAGCUGCUGCGUCAAUGAAGGGCCUAGUGUGCAACGAGAUAGAAUGAAAACAGCCCACUGUAUGCUCAUGUGAUUUCACGGCUGUUUCCUAGUACUUCUUUAAGAAUGGCUUCCUUAAAGCCAGAGGUUCAUGAGAUGUCAGAGACUUGCAAACACCUGGUUCAACAUCUGCUUCUGCCCCAUUUUAUGGACGGGGAGACUGCAGCCUGAUGCUGCUGCCUGCUUUCCUCUGCCAGACCCCAUCCCCUAAGGGCGAGGCCCAAGCCUGAGUCAUCCCUGGGUCCCCAUGGCCCACACAAACAUCUGAUGCAGAACAGAGGGUGAGCUUGAGUCCAGCAGAGAGAACUAAGGGGCACCACCCUCGUGGGGAAAGCAAGAGAUGCAAAACUCCGCAACUGCUGACUCUGGAAUGGUGAAAGGAUUUGUGCCACUCAGACGCCUCCCGGGUUUGCCACAGCCACUCGAAGGUGGGAGCAACUGAGACCACAGGCGUUGGACACCGUGGCAGGAAACAUAGGGCACCUUCUGAGAAGGGACCCUGACGUGAGAGCUCUGAACACCCCAUGCCCCAUGCCCACCCAGCACAGUUUGGGAGGACAGGACCCGCUGGGCCAGCACUCUGAGAUGACAGAGCUGGAGACCAGUGUCCCUCUGCCCUUCCGCCCAGCUGCCCGCAGGCCACUGGCAAAGCUCACUCACCUUCUGCGACCCUGAUGUGGAGCUCUUGAGCGAG
rnacentral:lncRNA from 10 species